rnacentral:rRNA from 1 species
GACGAACGCUGGCGGUGUGCCUAAAACAUGCAAGUCGAACGAAGUCUUCGGACUUAGUGGCGGACGGGUGAGUAACACGUGGGAACGUGCCUUUAGGUUCGGAAUAACUCAGGGAAACUUGUGCUAAUACCGAAUGUGCCCUUCGGGGGAAAGAUUUAUCGCCUUUAGAGCGGCCCGCGUCUGAUUAGCUAGUUGGUGAGGUAAAGGCUCACCAAGGCGACGAUCAGUAGCUGGUCUGAGAGGAUGAUCAGCCACAUUGGGACUGAGACACGGCCCAAACUCCUACGGGAGGCAGCAGUGUGGAAUCUUGCGCAAUGGGCGAAAGCCUGACGCAGCCAUGCCGCGUGAAUGAUGAAGGUCUUAGGAUUGUAAAAUUCUUUCACCGGGGACGAUAAUGACGGUACCCGGAGAAGAAGCCCCGGCUAACUUCGUGCCAGCCGCCGCCGUAAUAC